rnacentral:piRNA from 1 species
UGUCACUGAACCUACAAGUCCUCUUCCUCC